rnacentral:piRNA from 1 species
UGUUGCUAAAGGUCUUGAUGGAGCAUG